AACGCACGAGACCUGCGGACCUGCGGAAGGAUCAUUAUAGAGUGGUAAACCCCCCGUAAAAGGGGGGGACCUCCUGUCCUUUGUAGGCUCUUUUUUAAAAGGGCUUUUUUUAAUUUUCUGCUUCGGUGGGGUUAUCCCACCGGAACAACCUCAAAACUCUUAUCAAAAAAUCGUUCUGUCUGAGAACCUUUUAUAAUAAAAAAAAACUUUUAGCAAUGGAUCUCUAGAUCGGAAGAGCAC
rnacentral:misc_RNA from 1 species